GUUUUUUUUUUUUUUGCGGUACGCGGGCCUCUCACUGCUGUGGCCUCUCCCGUUGCGGAGCACAGGCUCCGGACACGCAGGCUCAGCAGCCAUGGCUCACGGGCCCAGCCGCUCCGCGGCAUGUGGGAUAUUCCCGGACCAGGGCACGAACCCGUGUCCCCUGCAUCGGCAGGCGGACUCUCAACCACUGCGCCACCAGGGAAGCCCGGGAAGUUAAUUUUUUUUAAGUGUAUAUUUAAUUUGUUUAAUGCUAUGUGAAUUCCACAAACCAGCUCAUUUAGUACAGGGAAGAUAUAUUUAAAGUCCACAAGUAAAGGUGGAUGCUAUUGUGUCAGACUAGUUAAAAAGGAAUAUGGUUGAAAGACUAGUGUUUCAAUUCAAUUAUAAAUAUGUUUUUUGUGUAUGGAAACGUUUUCAUAGUAAAACAUUCAAACAUUACAGUUCUCCUUGACCACUUUUCCUAGUCCCCUCCUCAGAGAUAACCAGUGUUUUCACUCUGUCAUAUAUCUUUCCAGACUUUUUUUCUAGGCAUUUAUAUUUACUUACAGAAGUUAUCCUUAAAAUUGCAUAUAGUUAUUAUAAUUUGCAUUAUACAGGUUUCUGCUGUUAACAGAAUAUACCCUUUUUUAAUUGAAAUAUAUUUGACAUACAACAUCGUGUAAAUUUAAGGUGUACAUGUUAAUUUGAUAUAUUUAUAUAUAUUGUAAUAUCAUUGCCACUUUAAUGAUAAUUAGCACCUGUAGUGCAUGACAUAAUUAUCAUUUCUUUUAUAGUGGUUGGAAUAAUUAAGUUCUGGUCUCCUAGUAAAUUUGAUGACCAGAACAACACAUCUUGGAGAUCAUUACACACAGGCACAUUUAUACUUGUCCCAUUCUGUUCAUUGCUGCAUAGUAUUCUGUAUUAUAGUUACACCAUAGUGUUAGUCAUUCCCCUGUGGUUGGUCAUGUAGGUUGUUGCCAAUGUUUUGGUUUAUGGCUUUGUUUUUUGGGUAUCACAGACUAUGGUGCAGUUCUUGUAUUUGUCUUCCUGUGCACAGGUGUGAGUGUUUCUCCAGGAUAGAAUACUGAGAAGUAAGAUAUUUGAGGCAUAGAGUAUGUGGCAUUGAAAAUUUUAAUAGAUGCUUCCAAAUUGCCUUCUAAGAGGGCUGUACUAAUGCACCCUCCCAGCAGCAGUAUACGAGAGUUUCAACAUACUUUUUAUAUGGCAUUUCUUUUCUGUGUUUUUAAACAGCCUUUAAUGGUUAGCUUUUGUAUACAUUUUUAUAUGUGUUCUGGGGUUACACUUAGUACUCAUAUGUAUUUAAUAAGCUUUUAAUUUGAAGUGAUGGUAAAUAUUAAAGCACUUUUAUCCCACUGAAGCAGCAAAAGUACACUGAGAAAUUGUCCCCCUAACUCUUUUAGUGAGGUAUGUAUGUAUGAAAAGCAUGAUUAAGGUGCUGUCUGUUGAUGGCUAUGUUUUUUUAAAAAUUAUUAUUUAUUUAUUUAUUAAAAAAAUUUUUUUUGGCUGUGUCGGGUCUUAGUUGUGGCACACAGGCUUCUCUCUAGUUUUGGCAUGUGGGUUUCUCUCUAGUUGUGCCGUGUGGGUUUUCUCUAACUGUGGCACGCAGGCUCCAGAGCGCGUGGGCUCUGUAGUUUGCGGCACAUGGGCUCUCUAGUUGAGGCGUGUGAGCUCAGUAGUUGUGGCAUGUGGGCUUAGUUGCCCCAGGGCAUGUGGGGUCUUAGUUCCCUGACCAGGGAUCGAACCUGCAUCCCCUGCAUUGUAAGGCAGAUUCUUUACCACUGGACCACCAGGGAAGUCCCUAUUGACUGCUGUGUUUAAUUGGCAUUGUGAGUUGCCUACCAAGCAUCCAUCCACGCUAUAGUUUUAUUAGCAGAACCUCUUAUUUUUUUUCUUCAGAAAGUGACCCCAUUUCAGGAGUAAAUCAUUGAAAUACCAUUUUCCUUGCCGCUUGAGUUGAGGUAUAAACAUAUGUUGUAGUUCUGGCCCACGAGAUAUGGCAAGACACCUGCUGAAGGAAUUCUGGGAAGAAUUUCCUCUUAUUCGGCGUGUAUUAUUUCUCAUUGUGACACCUACAGCAGUUGUCUCCAUCUUUUGAUAAGAACAACAUGUUAAGGGAAGGUGGAAAGAAAUUGGGUCCUUGGUCUGCCAGGUCAGCUAGGAUUGCUCUCAGCUGCAAGUAACAGAAAUUUAAAUGAAGUGGCUUAAAUAGGAAUUUACAUUUCUCAUUUUUCUUGGCUCACCUUCCCAGUGAUGUUAUCCCCGCUCGGGUUUAUCUACUUUCCAUAUGCUGACUUUUCCCCUUUAUGCUUGUUACUUCCUGGCUUCUCAACUCUAGGGGGAAGGAACUCCCAUUUAGCAGAGAGCAGACGCCUCUCAGCAGACUGGCUCUUUCACCUCAUGCCCAACACGGGGGCACACGGCUGUCUUUACCCCCAAAGCUAACCGGAGUCGGAUAUUAGGCAUGGGGGAAACAAUUUUCAUGAUUUAUCUCCUAAUGCAAUCUUUGCAGCCGUAUCACAGAUCUUUUUCUUGAGACAUUUUGGUUUUUUGUUGUUUUUUUUUUUUUGCCACUUUUAGCCAAAACAGUUCUAACACAUUCAAAUAAACAGAUGAGAAUAUCAUGCCAAGAAUCAUUGUGCUUCCUUAAAGGCAUGAAUCUAGUCAUGUGUUCCUUUGACAGAUAUGUGUUAUUUGUGCCUUUCUAGCAUACAUUCCCUACGUUUUCUGUAAAUAACAUCUUUAUUUUCUUUUGGGAGACCUCCUACCCCAUCCUUGGUUUUUGUGACUUUGGGGGCAGCUGAGUUAAGUGUUGGCACUCGCCCCCAGCUUGGAAAGAGUUAUUAUCUUGGGUUUCCUGAGCCAGUGAUGAUCAGCCAUGGGUCUUAGGCUGGGGCCGUCAAGAGACAGGAUGGAACGAACGCAGAAGGAAGUUGAGCUGAGAGGAGAGUUUUGCGAUCACGUCUUUUGAACUAUCUGUCCCUGGACGUGUCACUUUUUGUUUAUGUCUUUUAAGUUGUGUUUCUAGUAUUUGCUACUGAAUGUCUAGCCAACGUAGCCUCCGGACCUAACUUGUCUUUCUUCUCAAGUCUUAGUUGGCUCAAAAAUUUGUUUGGGGCACUUUGGGAGGAGAUGUUGGUAGAGGCCUGUCGGGGCAAACAGCCAGCCCCUGUCUUGUUGAAGUAGGUGGGGGUGAUAAGGGGAAGAAAGCUGAGAGUGUCCUGCUGAAUCCUCAGGUCAGAUACAAGGGAGAAGUGUGGCAUGACGCCAGGAACCUACGAUGCAUCCUGCACCUGAGCGCCUCUCUCCCUUCAGUGGACGUUCCUGGGGGGCGUUGCAGUGGUGGGACAGCAGUAAUGGUCGUCAUCAUUCCAGCGAUAGCUGUUGAGCGUUGCUGGGUGCCAGAGGCUGUGCUCAGCACUUUGCAUUCAUUAUCUCAUUUAAUCCUCAUAACUACAUCUGAGAUAGAUGAUGUCGAUAUCACCAUUUUAUAGAGGAAAAUGAAGUUAAAAAACUUGGUCGAGGUCACGCUCAGCAGCAGUAGUGGGACUUGAGCCCAGGCAGUCUGAUUCUUGGGUUGCGUGUCCCCCGCAGUGAUGUGUUUCCAGCUUGCUUGCGCAGCCUCUCCUGUGUCCUGCCUUUUUCCUGGCCGAUGCUCUGCUACAGUUUUGGUCCCCCGCUCCUUCUCCCUUCAUUCAGUACACCAUUUCUAUUAGCUUUGGCCUGUGAAACUCUGCCCCCUUUGAGGCCUCUGGAAAAUCCACUGUUCUUGGUCACUUUAUUUGAAAGUAACAUUUCCUGGGAACUCUCCAGCGUGUAUUGUCUGUAUCAACAAUUCUCCGUCUUUUAGGGACAGUGCACUCUUUGGAUAAGCUUUAUUCUCCCUAGAGAAAAUUGCAUAUAUGCAUGUCAGUUUGCAUACGGUUUCAUGGGCUCGUGAGUGUUCUGAAAACCACUGUGUCUCUUUACAUGCCCAGCAUCUUCCCGUCUGUAAGGAGUAGAUGCGUAAUACAGUGCAUAAUACAGGAUAUGAGCGAAAUGUUCCUAUCAUGUAAAUAUCUUGCCUGCUUUUAAGGUUUUUUCCUAAUCCCCCAGAAGGAAGGGAUAGUCUCAAUCUUAUACUGAAUUUAUUUGUAUAUUAUGAUGUAACUAGCACAGUUAUUUGUCUAAUAAAUUGUAGAGUUUUGUUCAUAGCGACAGUUGAAGGAGACCCCUCUGCCUUAUUUUUUUGCCAAAUCAUCCCUGUUCCAAGUAGUUACUUCAGUUUCUCGUCCUUAGUAAUGGAUCAGGAAUUUUCUUUAUGGAACGUUAACUGAAAUAAUAUGGAAAGUUAGUAGAUACAAAAGUUCUAGUGCAGGAAGCAAGUCUUAUCAAACCUAAAAGGCUCAAGAAAUGAGUUUGGGCUACAGACCUAUCACGUUGUAACACGCCUGUUUCUUUUGUUUGUUUGUUUGUUUUAACACGCCUGUUUUAUAGAGAAAGCGGGAAUUCUUGGAUACAUACUGCGUUGAAACGUGUAUAAAAUUUUCAGCUCUCUUCUUAACAGUUUAGUUGACUCGUGCCUGAAAUGUGGAGCCUGAAAAUGAGCUAAUUUUUUUUUUUUUAAAGACCAACUGUUAAAAUUCUGUUGCAUGUGUGCAUUAUAGUUUUUGUGUUUGGAUUAUUGGUGCUCAGAUUGAAAAAUCUUGAGACCCUUUUGUUGUUGAAAACUGACCUCCUUUAUUUCAGAAAUUACUCGGCAUGAAAAACAUGUCAUUCAGAGUAGUUUUCAUGAUUUUCUGACAGACAGACGUGUUAGCGCCUUUCAAACAAACUAAAGCCUUCCUCUAAUACGAUUUCUGUUCCUGUGAACUAAAAUAUGUGCUCGGACAAAGCAGUGUCUUGGUCUAGAAUUCUUUUGUUGGGGCUCACUCUUGUAGAACAGAUUUCCCUGCUUCGCCCUGUGGCUGGACAGUGAGUGAGGCUGGCAGGGUCGAAGGUUAGCAUGGGGGUGGGGAACUGGGGAGGCAGCAGCUCCUCUCUUAGGAUGCUCGGGGAACACCACCGCAUCUCCCGAGAGGACCUCAAAGGGAGUUGUGCCGCUGAGGCCCCAGAGAGGCAUACGGCCUCCUCUCACAGUCACCGACCAUUGGAGCCUAGAUCGUGGGACUUUUUAAUUUGAUUUCCUAGUAGAUAUGAGUUUAAAGUCAUUACAGAGCAUCGAUUUGGUCUCCUGACUGUGUUCCCUUUGAGUAGUUGUCCUUCUGAAACAGACCUCAGCAUUUGACUUGAAAGCCUGAGAGGAUGGAGGGAGGCAGACGAGGAACUCCACUCUGUGGUUACUGUUAUGACCACUGACGGUCCUCACAUGUAUGAGGCAUUCGUCACCGCUUUUAUUCUAUGCAAAGCAACUUGCUUUUCUUGAGUUCCCCAAGCUUUUGUACACUGAAGCAAGAAUCAGAGCAUCAAAACUGUAAACCCGAUUACAUUCCACCUCACUUCCAACUCAAAGAAAUUUGCACCAUUUUAAGGUGUCCUGUGUAAAUUGAAACUCGUAUUGCUACAAGAGCUUUUUUGCUUAUGGGCCAGAUGAAGUGUUUUUGUCUUCUCAUCUGUUUCAGGGCUCAUCUGUGUGAACACGUUCUUUUUCUUUUGGUUGGUUUAUCAGAUGACAGUAUAUUUAGAAGUGAUGUGCACUGCAAUGAUGUCAGAAAUUUGUAAGAGGGAGACCAUGGCUGACUCAUCUCUCUGUUUACAGUGUUAGCACUGUGACUUGCAUUCAGUGAGUGGAUGAAUUUAUUGCUUGAAUACUGACUGAGAGGCAUGGUGCUAGUUUGUGGAGAUACAAAGUUUAAUAAGGUACUGUUCUUCUUAAUGAGUGGAAGAGAGAGAUAAAGAAAAGGAAAUAAUUACUAAACAGGAUGGAGCAUUCAGGCUGGUGCACAGGGAAUAUGGUAGCACUGGAGAGAUUUUUAUCCAACUCUGGGGCGUCUCCUCUUUGAGAAGGUCCCAUCUUAGUUGAUAGGUAAGCAGGGGCGUUGUGAGUCACAGAACACAGCAUGGUGUGUGCUAGGGAAUAUAGGCACUGGGGACGCGAUGCUAGGCGGCUGGUGGCAAGAGGCCUAUGAUGGGUGGGGGUCCUUUUAUUGUGGAGGACCUUGUGUGGCUGGCAUACAAAGGAGCUUUGGUCCUAGCCUAGAGAAGUGACCUGGAGUGAUACGGGCAAUAUGCCGAAUAAGUAGAUGACUCUGUAGGCUUGUUAAACAAAUGGACAUCUAAAACAUCCAUCACGAGGGACACUGUGGGACUCUGUAUCAUUGUGUUGUUUUGAAAUUUUGUGGUGAUGAUUGAUAAUUAAUUACAGUCUGUAGUAGAUGGGAAUGAGACAGUGGUAAUAGUUCUUUCUUUGUGUAGAAUGAAGUAUUUUGGUUGCAAGAGGGGAAGGGGGGAAGGGAAGGAACAGGAGGAAGAGGAAGGAGGUGCAGACGGUGUACUCUCCAGGCUGGAUGGAGGGAGUGGAGCCGCCUGUGUAGGCUGUGAUUCGUGGGAAGGGGGCUGGCACAGCAGAGGGCUUUGAGAACGCAAUGAAGACUUGCAUUCAUAAAGCUCUUUCCUGCUUGUGAAGUCCCUUCACCUGUAUUAUUAAUUUUGAGCUCACAAAAUCCUUAUUUAAGAAGCCGAAAAACAGCAAGAAAAAAGCAGCAGAACAGUAAUUGCUAUUGACUUACAACUGAAGUUCAGAGAGAUUGCGAUGUUCAAGAAUAUGCAAUUAGGAAUUGAAAGAUGUGGUAAAACCUCUCAAAUUUCUAGCUCCAGAACUCAUGUCCAUUCCGUAUUACUGCACUUUUGCCCUGCUUCCUGGCAGUUCAAGGGUCCUGGACCUUUUCCUCCCAGCUUUGCAAGCAGCUUCCUUCAGCAGAGAGGCCGCUGUGUGGACAGACCCUUAACAGUAUAGAAACUUACCUUAUUCAGAUGAAGAUGGUGAUGGGCCUACUCUCUGGAAGCAAAAUCAUUUUGGUUGUAUGAUGCCUCACUCUGAGGACAAUUUUGCUUUUAUGGUUGUGCCUAACGUGUUAAAAUACCCUUCAAAUUAAUAAAGUCAUGGUGGGGAGGCAGGGUGGGCGGAGCUGGCACAGCACUGAGAGAAUUAACACCUUUGUCUUCUUUUCUGCUCAGUAGUUCCUUAUCACAUACUUAUAGCUGAAAGAAAUCUGUUCUAUUUUUGACUGCUGCAGUAUUUUAAUUCUGGCAAACUCCUUUGAGGAGAGAAUGUGAGCAUUUAUAUUUUUAUUUGUUUACAUAAAAAGGUAAAAGUGGUGAAAUCCAAGUUAGGUCUGCUGUCUGUUUAACAGCGCUGUGCCAAGCAGUUUCUGCUUCUGAUAAUGGAGGGUUUUUUUUUAAUGCCUUUGUGCCAGGUGUUAUCCUAGGUGUAGAAUAACGGAGAUAUGCCCUUCUGCAAGGGGUUAGCCGGAAAGGUCUCACCUUCUGUGUUUCUGUGCCGUACAGCUGGGAUUCUUAACUCGAGGUCCAUGGAUUUCAGGGGUAACAUUUGUGUGUCUAUGUGCUUUCUGCAGAAAAUAUCCUUAGUGUUCAUCAGAUUUUCAAAGGUUAAGGACCGCUGUUUAGGAUGAUCAUUUCUCUUGCAUGGAUUCCAAAAAGAAAUUUCAUUAUAUAGGAAAAUCCUGAAUGCAGUUAACUCCUGCUCAGUCAUCUUUGGAAAACUUCUGCCCCUCAUUCCAAGUGGCCAACUUGCCCACACAUCUCUGCUAUUCAGAAUCUCUGUGGUCUUCUAAAUUAAUUCCAGAUGCUACACCUCAUGAAGAUGUGCUUCUCUGAUGCCCCAUCCCCACCCCUCGUCCUCAGAGCCAUGUUUGUUCAGGGAGCCUGACCCAGUGCACUGGACUAGGUUGACCACCAAUCCAAAGCUGGUCAGUCAGGGUGUCCUCUUGGGUAUUGUGACAGGGAGAAUGAAAGACGAGGGCAGAGAGAAAGAGAGAGAGAGAGAGAGAGAGAGAGAGAGAAUUACUCUGUGUAGUAAUUUUGGAUUUGGGUGCUAGAGCUGAAAUCAAGGUGUUGGCAGGUUUGGUGCUUUCUGAGGGCUGAGGAAGGAUUGGUACAAGGCCUCUGUCCCUGGCUUGUAGUUGGCCAUCUUCUCCCUGUGUCUCUUCACAUUGUCUCCCUUCUAUUUGUAUCUGUCUCUGUGUCCAAAUUUCCCCUUUUUAUAAGGGCACCAAUCAUAUCGCAUUAGGGCCUGCCCUAAUGAUCUCAUUUUAAUUUGAUUACCUGUUUAAAGACCAUAUCCUCAAAUAAGGUCACGUUCUGAGAUACUGGGGGUUAGUAUACUAACAUAUCUUUUCUUGGGGGGGCGACCCAAUUCAACCCAUAAGAGGUCCUCUAAGCCAUUGUCUUACUGUGUGGACUGGGGAGCACAGGAAGUUGAUUUGCACAGAUAAAGAAGAAGGCACAAACAAGACAUGGAGAGAAAUAACUUCAUGGAUUCCUGACAUGUCAUUUCCAGUUUUCCCUGGAGACCAGUUGUAUUCUUAAUGUUGGUUUCUAUGAGUUACCAUUUUGGCCUUCUAAUGCAUUCCCCUUGCUUAAGUUUGUUUAAGCUGGUUGCUGUUAGUUUUAGCCAAGGGAUGCUAACUAAUAAAGAACCAAAUUGAGACAGGCAUGCCACCCUAAGGAACUGGUUAUGACUUUCUAGGUUUUGUGAAGCUGUUGCUGGUUAGAUGAACUAGAAAAAGGAAGCGGGAAGAACCAUUUGAAGCCCACUGUCAUAGAAUCAUGAGGUAACGGAGGGAAAAGUAGAAAGGAGCAAAUAGAUAUUGAUCCUUUUCAGAGUAUCUGUUAUUACAUGUUAUGGAUUGAAUGUGCACCCCCCUGCCCAAUUUAUAUGUUGAAAGCCCAACCCUCAGUGUGAUGGUUUUAGGAGGUGAGGCCUUUGGGGGUGGUUAGGUCAUGAGGGUGGAGCCCUCAUGAAGGGAAUUAGUGCCCUUUUAAGAAGAGACAUGAGAGCUUGCUUACUCUGAGUUCUCUGCCAUGUGAGGAUUCAACAAGAAGACCACCAUCUGCAAACCAGGAAGCAGGUUCUCAAUAGACACCAGGUCUGCCUGUUUCAGCCACCCAAUCUAUGAUAUUUUUGUUAUAGCAGCCUAAACUGACUAAGACACUGUGUAAACCCUUUCAUUUAAUUAGGGUCUGAAUUAAGGACAUGGAUUAAAGAGAUUCAAAGAAAGAUGGAAAGUGAGAAAUCCACGUUGACUUUGAAUUUUCUGUUUUAGGCGGUGGGGCUAAUGGGUUUGGUAUUAACCAGUUAGAUGGUACUAACUUUUCGUUUGAGGAAGGACCUUAAGUUCUGAUUUGGAAGUACUGAGGUUGAGGGACUUUAGGUUAGUUAGAUGAGGAUUGCCAGGAAAAUAGUUGGCCAUGGUAACAGGAGUGCAAGCGCUGGAAACAUGGUUGUAGAGUUCUUGUAAUAUGUUAUGUUGUUUGAAGGCAUGUUGACUGGAAGAUAUCACCAAGAGAGAAUCCCAGAAAGGGCCAUGAAUGAACAUCACCAUUUGAGGGGCAGAGGAAGAGGAGGGUCAGCAAAGAAGACUACAGCAGAGAAGUGGCCAUCUGAUAUAGCAAUUGGCCUUAAACAGACUCCAUAUACAUUUAUCAGACAUUUAUCAGCAUAGCAGGUACAAAAGUUGUGAAGUUGUAUUGCUGUGCACUGAGGCAAGAACCGUGCAUUGGAAAAACUGAGGCAACAACAUAGAUUGUUCCUUCAAGACUGCAAGAAGGGAAGAAGAUGGCUGCUCAAGAGGAAGGUAGGCUAGAAGGAAUAUUCCCCACACGAAGAGGGGAAUGCAUAUUUCUCCAAAGAUGUGCUACUUGAAAUACCCAUUGUUCACUGAGGCGUGCAGAGUGUCUGGCUGAAUGCUCGGUAUACAUUAAUUAAUUUACCCCCCUUCUACAAACCUGUUUGACUUUAGAGAGAGAAGUUGGACUAAAUCUUUCUGUGUACCUCAAAUUCAUACAACGGAUAUGGUGUUGAGCCAGUAAAGGAGCCCAGGUCUGUCUGAAUCCACAGCCAUGCCAUCCCUCAUGUCUACCCUCCUAAAAAAUGAAUUCAAAGUGUCAGUUAAAUACAAGAAAAUACAGGAAAGCAAUUCAGGCCAUCUCCUGGAGUUUUUGAGGUGGGAUUUGGCAGGCAUACUACAUUACUGAAUUAAAUGAACAAUAAUAGGUUAAAAAAAUAAAAUUGUAAAUGGAAAUAAGAGGCAUAGAGGUCCUGUUUGGCUUGGAAAGAAAUUGGUCCAGGGUUAAUUGUGUAAGUGAAAUAAUAGGAGUAGAAAUUACAGAUUCAUUUGGGUGGCAGUUAGGAAAAAAAAAAUCAGUUAAUAGAAAGCUAGACGAGUACUUUCAAUAAAGAUCAGUAAUAUAAUAAAGGUCACGUCUAAGAAAGCAGUUAACCAACCUAGAUAUGAGUGUCAGAAAGCCAGAAAGGCAUGAGUUUGAAACUAGACUAGUAGAUGAGAAAGUCAAAGAUUAAUGCAGAAAAAUUAAACAGAAAGGUAGAGUGAAAGAAACCCCCACUGGAAAAAAAAAAGAAUAUCAAGAGAUGAAAGGGAAGAAAUCAAUAAACUAAAGUUGUUCUCCACUGGAUAAGUAAAAAUUUAAGUUUAACAUUAUUACAUGACGUAUCUUUUCUUCCAUAUAUAAAAGGGUAUGUGUAAAAUAGAACCAUGCAGUUCACAAAUUGAAAAGUAAUGUAUCGCUUAUUGUAGUAAUGUCUACUAACUCACAUUCCCCUACCUUUCUUACCGUGCACCCACUGGAGCACCCAACCACAUCUUACUCAUCCUGUGUCCUUAGUAGUUCCCAACCUACCUGGUACACAGUGGUCCUAAUAAAUACCUGUUAAUUCUAUGUGUUCUUUCAUUUCCAUUUGAUGCAGGAAACUUAAGAGGUGAGGGUCAAGGGUUUUAGGUACUCAAGUAACAAUUCACUAGCUCAAAAAAAUAAACACUAUUUUGUCUCUAUAUCUGGAGUUGGAAAACUAAGAAAUAGGGACUCUUAAGAUGAUGUAAUUAAGUUACAUUAGAUUUUUCACAUUAUUAGAAAUGAUGUCUAUUAUCACUUGGUUUCUGAUUACAAAUCUGUAUUUCUCUUCAUUAUCCGAUUUUUAACCCAAGAUGACCUGUUGCAAAACCUAAUAGGUACCUUCCUGUUUAAGUGUUUUGUCAAACUGAUGCAAGGCUCUAUGUUACGCAAGAGAACAGUGUUAUAUUUUGUUGAUUUUUUUGAACUUUUAAUUGAAAAUAACAUUCAUACAAGGAAGUGUAUAUGCUUAACUGCUUUUUUUUUCCAAAGACACCAAUUGUACUUGAACAUUUGUUACAUUUUUAAAAUUAUUUAUUUAUUUAUUUUUGGCUGUGUUGGGUCUUCGUUUCUGUGCGAGGGCUUUCUCUAGUUGUGGCAAGCGGGGGCCACUCUUCAUCGCGGUGCGCGGGCCUCUCACUAUCGUGGCCUCUCUUGUUGCGGAGCACAGGCUCCAGACGUGCAGGCUCAGUAGUUGUGGCUCACGGGCCUAGUUGCUCCGCGGCAUGUGGGAUCCUCCCAGACCAGGACUCAAACCCGUGUCCCCUGCAUUAGCAGGCAGAUUCUCAACCACUGCGCCACUAGGGAAGCCAGCUUAACUGCUUUUUAACUUGCACGUGUCUUCUGCUUAUUGAACGGUUUCAUGGAGAGUUGGUUGGUCCUCCUUCUUGUACUUUAAUAGAUCAUAAUAUUCAUUUCUGGGUCCUCCUAAUGUGCAGCUGCUAAAGGAAGCAAGAAGGGCAAUGCUAAUAUUAAAAUAUCAUGAAAAAAGCAUGUCCAUUUACAUAGGACGUGCUGGGAGUACGGCAUAUUAGGUUUUUGUGUUCUACUCAGUGUUUGGAGGUCUUAACUUUUUGAUUGAAAGGUAGGACUCCUAUGGGCUUAAAAGUUUCCUUGAGAGAUUUUUUUUGGUUGAGCUUAACUCUUGCAGGGUAGGAAUAAUUUGCUGCUGCAGCUGCCUCUAGAAACUAUUUUAAAGGGUUAUAUCAGUGAAGCUUUGAGAGUCUGUCCGUAGAUGCCCAUCUCCCCACCGCCACCUCUGUUGAAUCUAGGUGAGAAAUGGAUGUGAAUUUAAUAAGGUACACAACCUCAUCAACCCUUUGGAGAUGCUCUGCUAAAUUAAUUGCGGUAGACUCCUCAGGGUGUCCUUUUGUGGUACUGCUGAUUCUUUUAAGAACCUUGGCUGUUUUGCCAAAGGUAUCACGUCUUUAUAAUCUUAAACAUAUUAAUGAAUGAAACACUGUUCUGUUUCUUCACUUGCUUUGAGGUAUGUCAUUGUUAGUUUAGAGAUCCACUUAGCCGUCAAAAUCCUAUAUUGACUUGUCCACAUAAUCCUUUUAGCCUAUUUUUAGAUUUAUUAAGUGCUUUUCAUGUAGUUGAUGAAAAAGCUUUCAUUUAAGAAAUUGUUUCCACAUGACCCUGGGGGCCUCCCAUUGUAGCUUAACAGUAGUUGAGAUGUUGCAUUGUUUGUUGGAAACUGCGAAGUAGAGUCAGUCCUGGCAUAUGGGCACCCUAGCCUUAGAGCUGGGAGGGCCUCGGGGUGGUAAUUUAAUCUCUUCAUUUUACAGUCACGAUGUCCAGAGAAUUUCAGCAACUUAUCCAGGCUGACUCCACUGGUCAGACAAUGUAGAUUCUGACUCCUAGGCCCUGUUCCUUUGCCUACGUCAGACUGACACUUGAAUACCUGAAGACGUUGAGAUCUUUGCCAAAGAAAUGCCUUUCAAGUUGCUUUGUGUGAGAGAUGCAAAGGAAGAGGUACUUUUGUCCUGAAUGUGUUUGGUUUAAGUUUUCAAACAGUAGUUUAUGGCCUUUUUUUUCUCCUUGGGGUUGGGAAAGAAGGCAGUGUUAAAGGAGAGAGAGACCCAGAAAUGCCACCAUGCUAUCAUAAAUGAGGAAAAAUGUGGGCCAUAUUGGAGCUACCAUUGUCAAUUAUACAAAUCCUGCAGCAGGUGCAUAUACAAUAGAUGGUGUGGCAGCAGGAGCCUUGGCAGCCUCUAGACCCCUCACUUUCUCUUAUCCAUCAUCUGCAUCAGGACUCAUGGCUUUGCUUCCUAACCAUUUCUCAACUCUGUCUUUAUGCUGGACUAUUUUUACCCAUUCACUGUCCGUAGAUAUCUUUUCUGCUGAUUAAAGAAAUUCAGAAAGGAAAGAGAGAGAGAUUCUUUUUAUAUUCUAUUCCAGGGUCCCCAUUACAUAUAUUAAAGUUGGUUCUUAUAUAUAUAUAUAUAUAUAUAUAUAUAUAUAUAUAUAUAUAAAUUUUAAAUUUUAACUCACUCCCGUUUUGUCAUGUUUGUUCCCUUUGCUGACACUCUGCUUAGAGACGAUACGUAUAAGAAAGGCUAAGUAAAUAUAAUGUAGGAAGAAAGCUGGUUUUCGUACGUCACUUUCUAUCUCACGUAGGUGCCUGAGCUCCUUACGAAGAUCCCCCUGGAGGCCCGUACCCCAUGCUGUGUAGCAUACAGUAGUCUUGGCUUUAGUAUAGUGAGCACUUCUGGUUUUCAUUUUCUCAGGUGACCUCCAAAGGUUCAAGACAUGUAAUGAAAUGAGUCCCAAAUUAGGGUCAUGUGCAGGGUGGGCUGGGCGGGGGGUGGACUUAGCUCACGGGAACCAGCAGAUCCCCAGGCGCAGCCCUCUGCGCCUGAACGGGCUUUGGGGAGCGUGCUUUGUUCCAAGUACCUACUCCUCUCAGAGGAAUAUAUUUGUGUUUCUUUGUGAAAAUGGCCCAGAAAUGAAAAAAAGCCACCUGUGAUUUGUCAGUAAAUUGGGGGAUUUAUUAAAAUCUUGCUAUGCAGCCCUUCCUUAUUAAUGUCAAUGGGCUCAAUUCAUGGUCCACGCAUGGUUAAUGAUUUGUCGAUUGACUUUGUCUUCCUGGGAAGCAGAACAGUGGUUUUCAGCUCUGGCUGCUGCUUCUUGGGAAUCAAGUUGGAUUCUGUAGAUUUGGCACUGUGCCCACACAUCUGUAGAGUUGAAAGCUCCCUUGGUGAUUCUGAUGUACAGCUAUGGUUAAAACCCAUUGAACUAGACUAGAGCACAAACUUCAAAGAGUUCAGGGGAAGUACACAACUACUCCAAGUCAUUCCACAGGAACAGGUAAGGAGGCCGUUUUUGUUGAGAGCCAGGGAGUGAUUUCGGAAGCCCAGAGGAACUGGCAAUCCUGGUGGCCGUGAGAAAUUAAGCUCUUAGGGAUUUAGCUCUGUUUAGGCUCCUCCUUCCAAUCCCCAUUUGAUUUAAUAAAGACUCUCACCUUAUCCUGAAAUAGUUGUGAAUGGGAAUGUAACUAUUCUCUGCUGCUAAAGCACAAGUAUAUAUUCUCCAAUAAAGAUGUUAAAAACAAACAAAAAUAAAAUACCCUAAAAAAAGUCCUUUCUCCGCUCUCUGUUGCCUGGAAGCGAGGAACUGGGGUAGUUGUGUUUCUCAUAUUGUAUUCCCAACACCCCUGCCUCCCUCCAGAUAAUAGAUGUGAUCAAAUAAACUGAAAUCCCCUCUCACCCCAUCCUUGGAAAUUUUCAGCAUUCAUUAGCAUAUCAAAGGCUGGGAAAAGUCCUGUGGUUAACACGAUAACAAAAAAUCUUUCUAAAACUUUGUGUGAGUUAAACAAACUUAUUUGCAUAGGAAGAGACUUUUUGCUCCUAUUAUACCUACAACUAAGUAUUUUUUCCUUAACACCAGUUUGGGAAAGACUGGCCAAGUCACUUUCUGAUUCAGUGAUUUUCUGAGGGUUGAUUUCUGACAGCUGAAGCUCUUUUUAAAAUCCCCUUUGAAGUUGGACUGAAUUAACAAAUGGAAGGCUUGGCAAAGCAGUUUACUAAUUCAUAACUAUAUCCCUCUGCUUUCUUUGUGUUGCUAAGUACUAUAAUCUUUGACCUGAAAGGAAGAAUACUGCUAACAAGUAAAUAUUUAAAAGGCCCAUGAAGUAUAAUGUGUAUAAUGUGCGAGUUUGUGCCUGGGGAGCCCGUCUGCUGGCUGAAAGCAAUGACUCACUUUUUCAUCUCCUAAAUAGGCUGUUGUUUUACAGUAGGUUGAAAGGAAGUAUUUUAAGUGCUAAGAGUUAGAUUUUUUUAAUUUUAAGUUUUAGAUUUAGUUAGCCAUUGGCUUCACCGAUUUGAAGGUGACGUGUAAUUCAUAACUCUUGAGUGUGCUGGUACUCUGUACAAGCAAGUUAGCGUUAUUGUGAAUGAAUGAACUCUGUGCUACCAAAGACGACUUGGAACAGAGCGAGGAAACGGAAACAUGACUCAUUGAUGGACUUGAAGAGUAUCAAGGGGGACUCACUAACUUCAGAGCCAGAGCGGAGGCGUGGUAAAGCAGGGAGAACCUGGAUGGGGCAAGGAAACCAGGGUUCCAGUCCCAGCAGUGCCCCUGACUGCCUCGGUGACAAUGGCUGAUUCACUAAACCUCUCGGCCUUCUUUCUGCCCAUAAGGGGAAGCGUGAAUUAUUUGUUGCUAGGAUAACUGCCAGCUUCAAGACUUGAUGAGCCUCUGAAUUCUACGGAUUUUCUGGUUUGUGUGGAAGUGGGUGUGUAUGUC